ACGGCAGUGACGCUAGUGGCAAGCACUCGACUAAUAAUCGAAGGAUGUCUUUCAGUAGAUGUAGGGGUUCGAUUCCCCGACUGCCGACCCA
rnacentral:tRNA from 1 species